rnacentral:rRNA from 1 species
CCUACGGGAGGCAGCAGUGGGGGAUAUUGCACAAUGGGGGAAACCCUGAUGCAGCGACGCCGCGUGGGUGAAGAAGCGCCUCGGCGCGUAAAGCCCUGUCAGCAGGGAAGAAAAUGACGGUACCUGAAGAAGAAGCCCCGGCUAACUACGUGCCAGCUGCCGCGGUAAUACGUAGGGGGCAAGCGUUCUCCGGAUUUACUGGGUGUAAAGGGGGCGCAGACGGCGAUGCAAGCCAGGAGGGAAAGCCCGGGGCCCAACCCCGGGAGUGCUCUUGGAACUGCGUGGCUAGAGUGCAGGAGGGGCAGGCGGAAUUCCUGGUGUAGCGGUGAAAUGCGUAGAUAUCAGGAGGAACACCGGUGGCGAAGGCGGCCUGCUGGACUGCAACUGACGUUGAGGCCCGAAAGCGUGGGGAGCAAACAGGAUUAGAUACCCCAGUAGUC